UAACACGUGAGCAACCUGCCUUUCUAGAGGGGGAUAACAGUUGGAAACGACUGCUAAUACCGCAUAACGCUGCGAUGGGGCAUCCCGAUGCAGCCAAAGGAGCAAUCCGCUGGAAGAUGGGCUCGCGGCCGAUUAGCUAGUUGGUGGGGCAACGGCCCACCAAGGCGACGAUCGGUAGCCGGACUGAGAGGUUGAUCGGCCACAUUGGGACUGAGACACGGCCCAGACUCCUACGGGAGGCAGCAG
rnacentral:rRNA from 1 species